UGGGGGAUCGUCUAGCGGUAGGACUUAGGACUCUGAAUCCUACUACCCAGGUUCGAAUCCUGGUCCCCCAGCCA
rnacentral:tRNA from 3 species